GACAACUAUUCAAAUUCAAAGGCUGCAAAGCAGCUUCCAGAAUGCGCCUAAGACUUGAAGAGUUUGUGCAGCCUGGGCUGGUGCAAGAGGCCAAGACCAGAUAAUGCUGCUUCUGGUUUUGCUCCUGGAAAACUUUCAAUUCAACCGACAGUAGCAGGAAGUGAGCUGCCAGUGUGGGCCUGGCUCUCGGUCGCUGUGCAAAGGCCUGGCUGCGGUGACCGCAUAGCUCUCACCCAGAAGGACAGGAUAUCAUGUGACCCACGGCAGGGUGAGCUGAGGACACGGAGGCUUUCCAAACAGAACUGUCCUCCGCCAUCCUCCCAUUUAGAGAAAAGCUUCCUGCAGUGAAGUUCCUACCUGAAAGCAAAUAAAAGGGCAAAACCAGCACAGCCUCAUGGGCUAGAACGUCUCUUUGUGUUAAAGACAUCCAACUAACCUCGGACUGGGCUCUUUUUUUUUUUUUUUAAUUUGCUUUAGGGCCACACCCAGUGGUGCUCAAGGCUUACUUCUGGCUCUGAGCUCAGGAAUUACUCCUGGCAGGGUUCAGGGAACCAUAUGGGGUGCACCAGGAAUCGAAUCUGGGCCCGCUAUGUGCAAGAAAAGAACGGAAGGAGAUGUCUGGGGGAUAAAAAUAGCAGGUGAUGAAAUGAGAACAAACGUGGGGAGAGAUGGGCAUGAUGGAGGUACACAGACUGCAGACGGGCAAGGCUGUACCGCAGCGCUGGGAGAGGAGCCGGCAGCAUCUCUCGGUGCCGGGAAACCCGGGAGCUUCUGAAGACGCCUUUGGGGCGGGGUCAAGAGGGGCCGGGGAGUAAACCUGAAGAGACUCCCACGGGCCGAAGAUGGGAAAUCACGCUCCUCCUAACGGGGUACACAAAUCUGGCUCUGAGCUGACUGGCAGCCAGCAUAAAGAUGGAAACACAAUCUGUUACACGAUUUACAAGGUCCUUAAGAUAAAAAUAAACCAGUUGCUGAAGAGAAACACAAGUAUUCCUGGUCUUGAGAGGAAUUCCUCCUUGGAUCGGAUUCUGAAGAACCUCCAGUAGCUGUUAUUUUUAAAGCAAUGCGGGGGUGGAGGGGGGCUGGGGAGGCAAACUUCCACUUGAUUACUAUCUCGAUCCUUGUUUCAAAAUAUGCUCCUCAGUAAUGAAGCGUUUAGAGCGCUGUCUAGAUGGCUUACAAAACCGUUACCGAAAACUCAUCUCUGAUCAAUGCGGACAUCCGAUUCUCCAGCAGUGCUCUGAGCCUGUGUCAGGAUUCCUUUAAGAAUCACCAGCCCCGGGGCCCAGGAGAGGCAGCUUAGCGGCAGAGCACUGGCCUUGCAAGCCGGAGGCCGGAGAGGCUGUGGGUUCAAUCACCAGCACAGUCCCUCCUCCCAGAUUGAGACCCUGGAACUCUGCAGUUUGGAGCCACAAAGAUGUGUGUGAGGCACCACAACCCAAGGGUGUGUGACUCUGAUCAUCACAACAAGAAGACAGGUUGUUCAGUACGACACAAUACAAAUCAGCAAUCUUGGCUAUACUCCAUUAACGACAUCUCUGCACCACUCACCGCUCUUCCAUGAGUUCCCGGAUGGAGGCAACUGUGGGGCCAGAUCCCAGGUGAGUAUAAUAGG